GUCGGAGUGGCGGAAUAGGCAGACGCGCUAGCUUGAGGGGCUAGUGAACGUAAGUUCGUGGGGGUUCAAGUCCCCCCUCCGACACCA
rnacentral:tRNA from 1 species